CCCUACGGGAGGCAGCAGUGAGGAAUAUUGGUCAAUGGGCGGAAGCCUGAACCAGCCAAGUCGCGUGAGGGAAUAAGGCCCUACGGGUCGUAAACCUCUUUUGCCGGGGAGCAAGGGCGGGGACGUGUCCCGGCCCGGAGAGUACCCGGAGAAAAAGCAUCGGCUAACUCCGUGCCAGCAGCCGCGGUAAUACGGAGGAUGCGAGCGUUAAUCGGAAUUACUGGGCGUAAAGGGUGUGCAGGCGGUUUUGCAAGAUGGGUGUGAAAGCCCCGGGCUUAACCUGGGAAA
rnacentral:rRNA from 1 species